rfam:Pseudogymnoascus pannorum VKM F-103 contig_1402, whole genome shotgun sequence.
AUUGGAGGGCAAGUCUGGUGCCAGCAGCCGCGGUAAUUCCAGCUCCAAUAGCGUAUAUUAAAGUUGUUGCAGUUAAAAAGCUCGUAGUUGAACCUUGGGCCUGGCUGGCCGGUCCGCCUCACCGCGUGCACUGGUCCGGCCGGGCCUUUCCUCCUGGGGAGCCGCAUGCCCUUCACUGGGUGUGUCGGGGAACCAGGACUUUUACUUUGAAAAAAUUAGAGUGUUCAAAGCAGGCCUAUGCUCGAAUACAUUAGCAUGGAAUAAUAGAAUAGGACGUGUGGUUCUAUUUUGUUGGUUUCUAGGACCGCCGUAAUGAUUAAUAGGGAUAGUCGGGGGCAUCAGUAUUCAAUUGUCAGAGGUGAAAUUCUUGGAUUUAUUGAAGACUAACUACUGCGAAAGCAUUUGCCAAGGAUGUUUUCAUUAAUCAGUGAACGAAAGUUAGGGGAUCGAAGACGAUCAGAUACCGUCGUAGUCUUAACCAUAAACUAUGCCGACUAGGGAUCGGGCGAUGUUAUCUUUUUGACUCGCUCGGCACCUUACGAGAAAUCAAAGUUUUUGGGUUCUGGGGGGAGUAUGGUCGCAAGGCUGAAACUUAAAGAAAUUGACGGAAGGGCACCACCAGGAGUGGAGCCUGCGGCUUAAUUUGACUCAACACG